AGAGCGAACGCUGGCGGCAGGCUUAACACAUGCAAGUCGAGCGGGCGUAGCAAUACGUCAGCGGCAGACGGGUGAGUAACGCGUGGGAACGUACCUUUUGGUUCGGAACAACCCAGGGAAACUUGGGCUAAUACCGGAUAAGCCCUUACGGGGAAAGAUUUAUCGCCGAAAGAUCGGCCCGCGUCUGAUUAGCUAGUUGGUGAGGUAAUGGCUCACCAAGGCGACGAUCAGUAGCUGGUCUGAGAGGAUGAUCAGCCACAUUGGGACUGAGACACGGCCCAAAACUCCUACGGGAGGCAGCAGUGGGGAAUAUUGGACAAUGGGCGCAAGCCUGAUCCAGCCAUGCCGCGUGAGUGAUGAAGGCCCUAGGGUUGUAAAAGCUCUUUUGUGCGGGAAGAUAAUGACGGUACCGCAAAGAAUAAGCCCCGGCUAACUUCGCGCCAGCAGCCGC
rnacentral:rRNA from 1 species